rnacentral:rRNA from 1 species
UCCAGACUCCUACGGGAGGCAGCAGUGGGGGAUAUUGCACAAUGGGGGGAACCCUGAUGCAGCGACGCCGCGUGGGUGAAGGAGCGUUUCGGCGCGUAAAGCCCUAUCGGCAGGGAAGAAGGAGGACGGUACCUGACUAAGAAGCCCCGGAUAACUACGUGCCAGCAGCCGCGGUAAUACGUAGGGGGCAAGCGUUAUCCGGAUUUACUGGGUGUAAAGGGAGCGUAGACGGCGGUGCAAGCCAGAUGUGAAAGCCCGGGGCUCAACCCCGGGACUGCAUUUGGAACUGUGCUGCUAGAGUGUCGGAGAGGCAGGCGGAAUUCCUAGUGUAGCGGUGAAAUGCGUAGAUAUUAGGAGGAACACCAGUGGCGAAGGCGGCCUGCUGGACGAUGACUGACGUUGAGGCUCGAAAGCGUGGGGAGCGAACAGGAUUAGAUACCCCGGUAUU